UCUCGCUUGCUCGUGAGAUGAAAACUUUCUGGCGGCCUCAGUGGCUGGAGGGAAAUAAAAAAAAGCUCAAGAUGGCGGAAAAUUUAAAAGCCUGUUCUGUGUAUUGCAAGUCUUCUUGGUCCCAGCUUCAAGAUCUGUGCCGUUUGGAGAAGGUGUGCUGCCCUGCCUUGGGUAUUACCAGAAAAAAUCUCUGUGAUUUUGAAGUGGAAUAUCUUUGUGACUACAAGAAAGUCCGGGAUGAAGAAUACUACCUGGUGAAGUGGCGGGGUUACCCUGAUUCAGAGAAUACCUGGGAGCCCAGAAAGAAUCUGCGCUGUAUCAGUAUACUCAAACAGUUCCACCGGGAUCUAGAGCAGGCAUUAAUCCGGCGAGGAUGCAAGCUCAGAAAGAAUAUGCGUGUGCUUGACCAAGGCAUCUCCAACUACCUAGUACAGAAGGCAAAACAGCGGCGAGCUUUGCAGCAUUGGGAGUAUGAGCUCAAUGCUAAGCGCAACCACAAGGGAUGCAUUGUGGUAGAAAAUGAGGUGGACUUGGAUGGGCCUCCCCGGGACUUUGUCUACAUUAAUGAGUACAAGGUUGGGGAGGGCAUCACUCUCAAUCAGGUGGCUGUGGGCUGUGAGUGCUCAGACUGUCUGUCAGAAGCUGUGGGUGGUUGCUGCCCUGGUGCCUCACACCAUAAAUUUGCCUAUAAUGAGCUGGGCCAAGUGAAGAUCAAGGCUGGCAUGCCCAUCUAUGAGUGCAAUUCUCGCUGCAGCUGUGGGAUUGACUGCCCCAACCGUGUGGUGCAGAAAGGCAUUCGUUACGACCUUUGCAUUUUCCGGACAGAUAAUGGGCGUGGCUGGGGUGUGCGCACACUGGAGAAGAUCCGCAAGAACAGCUUUGUCAUGGAAUAUGUGGGAGAGAUCAUCACAUCAGAGGAAGCUGAACGACGGGGUCAGAUCUAUGACCGACAGGGUGCUACUUACCUCUUUGACUUGGACUAUGUUGAGGAUGUAUACACAGUAGAUGCUGCGUACUAUGGCAACAUUUCACAUUUUGUGAACCACAGUUGUAACCCCAACCUACAGGUAUACAAUGUAUUCAUUGAAAAUUUGGAUGAGCGGCUGCCACGCAUUGCCUUCUUUGCUACUCGACCUAUCCGUGUUGGUGAGGAACUCACUUUUGACUACAACAUGCAAGUGGAUCCAGUAAAUGCAGAAAGCACAAAGAUGGACUCUAAUUUUGGCCUAGUGGGAGGUCUGACUGGCUCACCGAAGAAGCGGAUGCGAAUUGAGUGUAAAUGUGGCACAGAGUCCUGCCGGAAAUACCUCUUCUAAUUCCUUGCCAGUUUUGCUUGGAAGAUACCUGGUCAAGCUUGAAUUGGAAACCAAGGACAAGCUGGCAAUUGCUGAAAGAUUGCAGAUGGAGGAAUUGGACAACACAGAAUUUCAGCUACCGCCACCAACUCUUGGAAGGUAGAUGCACAGGAAGACUUCAUUUCUCAAGGCUAUCACUUUUUAAAACCAGAUCUGUGUUUGUACUAGUUGCAUGAGAUGCAGAAGUUCAGGUUUUGGAGAGUAAAUGAGAGAGACAUCUAUUGAAUUCUUGCCUGCCAUGCAACUACUAAAAGCAGAGGACCAGAGCCAGGAAAAAAUACAGCAUCAUUAUCAGGCAACAUACUAAGUAUCUGCCUGAACGUGAAAACAUUUGGCUGCUCUAAACUAAAAGGAAAGCAAGAUUAAUAGUGUGGAAAGCCUUUUUUUCAGCCAUAAGUACUGAGAAAACAACAAAGCGAGCAACUACACUUGCUAUUAUGUCUUAAAGUGUUUUUACAAGGAUGUAGGCCAUAAACCAGGGCCAUCCGUAUCCUAAAGCAGCUACCUCUGGUAGCAGAUGCUGGUAGGUAGGAAACAGCAUAAGAUAUUGGAGGAUAGUAGGGUUAUGCCAGAUGGCCUUGCUUUGUGUCCCCUAAGCCAGCCAGCUAUCCUUGGGUGUGUUGAAAGAUACUGUCUUUCUGCUAGUACUGAAGUAAGAUUUAACUGCCAAACUGCUCAACUUCAGCACAUGGAAUGGGAAAGGGACACCAUCUUGUCCCUUGCCUCAGACAACAUGUCUUAGGUCAGUAUUGCCAUAAAGUGUUUUCUGUAAUACAAAGGACAUAGCAAUAUUAAACCCAUUUUGCAUUUGCUUCAUGCUGAGUAGAAAUGAAAAACUUAAUUCCAUCUUCACAUUUAAUGUGCUAGUUUGUUUUUAAUUCUAUACAGGAUACUAUGUCUCAGAGCUUAUUUUUGCCCUGUUUGGUUCAUUUCUUUGCCAUUUUUGCGAACUUGAACUCAUUUGACUGAUAGCCACAUGCUGGUCUUGUCUCUCAAGCUCUACCUAGGGCUGCAGUAGUCAUAAGUACUCUUAUCUGUUGUACCCAACUUCAGAGAAGAUUGUGAACUUUGGUUUUAUAUCUGUAGGGUGGCUACAUUUGGAAUACAGUAUACAGUGCUGACUGUCACUUCUCAAAAAGGCUAGGGUAGAGCUGAAGAUGGUGUAGAAAAGAGCAACCAAGAUUAUCAGGGAAAUGGCACACUUCAUACUGAGGAAAGACUACAAUUUAGGAGUUCUCAAAACUGCUGCAGGGAAAAUAUGACUAAAGCUUAUAGAAUUAUGCAUGAACUUAGAGGAACAUGGAGAAAGAUAAUGUUUCUCCUCAGUGUUAAAAUUCAAAGUUAUCCAAUUAAACUGAGAUUCAGGACACAAAAGGAAAUAUUAUUGAGAGCAAAUUAACGUAAGGAAUUCAUUGCCACAAGAUGUGGUGUCAACUACUAGGUUAAAAGGCAAAUAGGGAUUAUCCAAAUGAAUAGAGGACAAAGCUAUUGGUUUUGAUGGCUAUAUUCUACCUUCAUGUUCAGAGAAACUGUCUUUGAAUCCACUGUUGCUCCCCAGCAACUGGUGAGACAGUUUUUUGUCCUCAUGUCUUCCCUUCCAGGCUUCCAACAGGCAUCUGGUUGGCACUGUGAAAACAGGAUGCUGAAUGAGAUAGUUCUUUGAUCUCACUGGAAUGGACUCUUAAUACAAAUAUGUAUGGGUCACUUGUAUGGGCCAAAUAUUUUAUAACAGUUAUAUACUAUUCAAGCAGUACUCCAGAGCUUUCACUAAAAAAGCAGUGAUGUCUGUCAAAGACAUCCAUUUAUUUUUGUUAAUUAGGGCUAAGGCAAGUUGCAGUUAGAAUUCAUCAGGAAUGCAGCUAUAUUAUUUGUUAGAAGCACAUCCAGAGUGUGUGACCUUUCCUUAAAUAUAUGCGUGAUCAUGGGAGGCUUCUGCUCAAAGUUUCUGUGAUACACUGAAUCCAAAUCAAUCAUCUAUCUAAUGUAUAUAUGGAGCUGGAAUGACUGCAUUACAUUUUGCAAGCAUUAUUCAGCCACUGUUAACACACAUUAUCUUAAUCCUCUCUCAUCUAUACACUUACAGAUCUCUUAACCCUUCAUUAGGCUGUUUAGUUUGUUUGCUGCAAAGAUGUUGCUUGCUUGCACUUCCAUCAAUGUAGUUCUUCAUCGUGGCCUCUGUGCAUCACACAUAUGGGUGCUGUGCCUGUGCAGUGCCUUUGGCCGGAAGAUUGAUAGCUAACGGUUUUUGGUGGGAAAAAGCUGCACGCCCUCUCUAGCCUAUAAAGAGCAGAGCAUCCACCAUUUUGUUCAGUCUUUGCGACUGCCGUUCGCUGUGCCUCAUGCCGCUUUCGCUAUCGCUCUUACCGUUGCUCGUCUUGUUUGUUCUCGAUUGUUCUUCUUUCCCAGUUAUUAUAGCCCUGUUAGUAUUAGUAGUUCUUGUUGAAAUUCUUGUUCCUCUUGAUAGUUCUGUUUUUUCGUUCUAACUCUUUCGAUCUUCUAUAAAAAAAAAACAAAAAACCAAAAAUAGAUUCUUACCCUCUGCACUAUCUUCUCCUUUUUUCCUUUUCUUACGAUGGCGCAGCGAGUGGCUUUCCGCAAGUGCAGGUCUAAGAUGUCUCCUGCAGACCUGCAUGACCUAUGCCUCCUCUGUCUGGGGAAAGGGCAUAGGACCAAUAAGUGUUCUCACUGCCUGGCCUUCUCUAAGCAGGCCAGGAAAAAUCGCGAGAACCGCCUACGAAGGCUUUUGUGGGAUCAGGCUCUUCUGCAGUCUGACCCACUAGUCACCACUCCAAGCCUGGCUCUUCCACUGCUCCUCCGCCUCCACGCCCUUCGGCUCUACCCUCUUGCCCUUCGGACGAAGGCGUGUCUACCAUGGGCGCUCGGCCCGCUUCUCCGAAGAAGCAUGAGAAACACAAGCAUGCCAAUACCGACAAAUCGGCAGGCCACGAGAAGACCAGGAAGGAGAAGGCUCCGAAGCCACCGAAGAAAUCUAAGGAUCCAGAGCGUCCCAGGCAUCGUGACUCGGGUUCGACGGCCCCCUCAGUACUGAUGGUAGUCACCGUACCAACUCCACCUGACCCCGCCCUUCAGGUGGCUAUGAGGGUUACCCCUCAAGGGUCCCCUCACCGUGUGGCUGACCUUCUGGCAGAGCCUCUCCCAACUCUACCACGGGAGUCGAUUUCUGAGGGGGUGAUUCAAGAUUCUCCCCCUAGGGCUAGGUCUCCCACACCUAUGCCCGCAGCCACAUUGGAAGCAGAUGUUGAAAUGUCCCCGCCUAAGAGCCGGAGGAGCCGCUCCAUGGAACACCGUUCCGAAGGAUGGUACCGUCCCUACUACCAAUCCUGGGGCGAUCUGCAUUCCGUCUGAUACUACCCUGGUCCCAGGGGUCGAUCUUCACCACCUCCUCACGACCGUCCGCUGUCCUCGGGCCCAAGGCAUGUGUCCCCGAUACCUCCUCGGGAUGAGAGUAGCCGGUCCUUCUCUGCGGCUGAGUCCUCUUCAUUGGCUCCCUCGUACUAUGGUGCUGCUUCCGAUGAUUUGGAGGCUGAUUCUACCUCCCCAGACAUCGCUGGGACCUCCCAGGGCCCUGCGUCACCGGACGAAUCGCACGUCUCCUUCGUGGAGUUGAUGUCCCGCCUUGUCCAGUCCCUUGAGAUCGAUGCCAUCCAAUGUCCGGGACCGAGUACGGACAAAUUUUAUGACGUCAUCCGCAGGGAACAAUCUACAUCGAUUGUCCUGCUGCUGAUCACCACCUUGCAACAGGCGAUGAUGCAACCCUGGGACUUGCCCGCUCACCCUCAACCGACUUCGUGGAGGUACAAAUCCAUGUACCAGGUUCGGAAGAGGACAUACUCUUCCUCCUCCACCACCCCAAACCGAACUCGGUGGUGGUGGAGUCCUCCCAGGGCAGAGAGGCAAGAGGUCGCACCGCACCAAAGGACAAGGAGGGACGGAAGAUUGACUCCCCGGCCAGGCAAGUGUACGCUGCCUCUGGCCUAGGGCUGAGAAUUUCCAAUUACGAGGCAACGCUUGCGAGGUAUCAAUAUUUCAUUAUGCAGUGCAUCCAUAACAUCGUCUCAGCCCUCCCGGACCACCAGGGUGACCUGGCUAAGGUCUUCGUCAAGGAGGUGAUGCAAGUCGCCGUCCAGCAGUUGUCCACUGCCCGA